AAUCCAUGGUGCUGGCAUAUUUGAAUCAACAUUUUGAAGUGUCCCUAUGCCUCAUAGAAGCUUUCUCCCUCCAUUUGCCUAAAGACAACAACGUCUCUUCUUAGUUG
rnacentral:snoRNA from 1 species